UGCAAGGAUUGCCAAAUGACGACUUAUCCAUACAGAAUGGAAUCAUUGUCACUAAAGCAUCUCGUUAUCCUUUGUUAAUUGAUCCACAAACACAGGGCAAAAUUUGGAUUAAAAAUAAGGAAGGCAGAAAUGACCUUCAGAUCACUUCUUUGAAUCAUAAGUAUUUUAGAAACCACUUAGAAGACAGCCUUUCUUUGGGAAGACCUCUUUUAGUAGAAGAUAUUGGAGAAGAGCUGGACCCAGCACUUGA